UGGGUAACCUGCCCUGUACAGGGGGACAACAGCUGGAAACGGCUGCUAAUACCGCAUAAGCCCUUAGCACUGCAUGGUGCAUAGGGAAAAGGAGCAAUCCGGUACAGGAUGGACCCGCGUCUGAUUAGCCAGUUGGCAGGGUAACGGCCUACCAAAGCGACGAUCAGUAGCCGAUCUGAGAGGAUGUACGGCCACAUUGGGACUGAGACACGGCCCAGACUCCUACGGGAGGCAGCAGUGGGGAAUAUUGCACAAUGGAGGAAACUCUGAUGCAGCGACGCCGCGUGAGUGAAGAAGUAUUUCGGUAUGUAAAGCUCUAUCAGCAGGGAAGAAAAUGACGGUACCUGACUAAGAAGCACCGGCUAAAUACGUGCCAGCAGCCGCGGUAAUACGUAUGGUGCAAGCGUUAUCCGGAUUUACUGGGUGUAAAGGGAGCGUAGGUGGCAAGGCAAGCCA
rnacentral:rRNA from 1 species